UACAGAGGGUGCAAGCGUUAAUCGGAAUUACUGGGCGUAAAGCGUGCGUAGACGGUCAUGUAAGUCGGGUGUGAAAGCCCCCGGGCUCAACCUGGGAAUUGCAUUCGAGACUGCAUGGCUAGGAUGCGGAAGAGGGAAGCGGAAUUUCCGGUGUAGCGGUGAAAUGCGUAGAUAUCGGAAGGAACACCAGUGGCGAAAGCGGCUUCCUGGUCCAGCAUCGACGGUCAGGCCACGAAAAGCGUGGGGGAGCAAACAGG
rnacentral:rRNA from 1 species